GAUGAACGCUGGCGGCGUGCUUAACACAUGCAAGUCGAACGGGAAUUACUUUAUUGAAACUUCGGUCGAUUUAAUUUAAUUCUAGUGGCGGACGGGUGAGUAACGCGUGGGUAACCUGCCUUAUACAGGGGGAUAACAGUCAGAAAUGGCUGCUAAUACCGCAUAAGCGCACAGAGCUGCAUGGCUCGGUGUGAAAAACUCCGGUGGUAUAAGAUGGACCCGCGUUGGAUUAGCUUGUUGGUGGGGUAACGGCCCACCAAGGCGACGAUCCAUAGCCGGCCUGAGAGGGUGAACGGCCACAUUGGGACUGAGACACGGCCCAGACUCCUACGGGAGGCAGCAGUGGGGAAUAUUGCACAAUGGGGGAAACCCUGAUGCAGCGACGCCGCGUGAAGGAAGAAGUAUCUCGGUAUGUAAACUUCUAUCAGCAGGGAAGAUAGUGACGGUACCUGACU
rnacentral:rRNA from 1 species